GGUGAAAAUGAUGAAUUCUGGAGUACUGAUUCAUGUGAUCUGAAAAAGCCAUCCAUUUCCUGAUUCACC
rnacentral:snoRNA from 1 species